GACGAACGCUGGCGGCAUGCCUAACACAUGCAAGUCGAACGAUAAGGCCCCUUCGGGGGUACAUAAGUGGCGAACGGGUGAGUAACACGUGGGUAACCUGCCCUUCACUGGGGGACAACCGAGGGAAACCUCGGCUAAUACCGCAUGGAUGUGCGAUGCCAUGAGGUGUCGUACCAAAACUCCGGUGGUGAAGGAUGGGCCCGCGGCGGAUUAGGCUUGUUGGUGGGGUAAUGGCCUACCAAGGCGACGACCGUAGCUGGUCUGAGAGGACGAUCAGCCACACUGGGACUGAGACACGGCCCAGACUCCUACGGGAGGCAGCAGUGGGGAAUAUUGGACAAUGGGCGCAAGCCUGAUCCAGCCAUGCCGCGUGAGUGAUGAAGGCCUUAAGGGUUNUAAAGCUCUUUCGUCCGGGACGAUAAUGACGGUACCGGAAGAAGAAGCCCCGGCUAACUUCGUGCCAGCCGCCGCCGU
rnacentral:rRNA from 1 species